rnacentral:rRNA from 1 species
AAAUGAAUAGACGGGGGCCCGCACAAGCAGCGGAGCAUGUGGUUUAAUUCGACGCAACGCGAAGAACCUUACCAGGUCUUGACAUCCAGCAAAAGCUGUGGAAACACGGUGUGUCUUCGGACAUGCUGAGACAGGUGGUGCAUGGUUGUCGUCAGCUCGUGUCGUGAGAUGUUGGGUUAAGUCCCGCAACGAGCGCAACCCUUGUCCAUAGUUACUAACGCGUAGAGGCGAGGACUCUAUGGAGACCGCCGGGGACAACUCGGAGGAAGGUGGGGACGACGUCAAAUCAUCAUGCCCCUUAUGAUCUGGGCUACACACGUGCUACAAUGGCCGAGACAGAGAGGAGCGAAGGCGUGAGCCGGAGCGGAUCUCAAAAAAGCGGUCGAAGUUCGGAUUGUGGGCUGCAACCCGCCCACAUGAAGCCGGAGUUGCUAGUAAUCGCGGAUCAGCAUGCCGCGGUGAAUACGUUCCCGGGCCUUGUACACACCGCCCGU